CAGGUCUGGGAGAGGGAGCAGCACUGGCCAGGGGAGGGAGGAUUUUCCUUGGGGAAGUGGCUAAGCUGGAUGAUUUCAAGGAAUUGAGUGAAUCCAGACAGCAGGUGGGGAGAGAGAUUAUCAUCUUACAACUUUUGAUCUCUUAGGGAUUCUUCCCUUUUUUUCCCCUACUUUUUAAGCACGUAAGUCAGAAGCCACACUACCUGUGAUUUUGGCCAAGUCAUUUUAUCUUUCUGUGCCUAUAUGUCAUCUGUCAGUAGGGAUAAUAAAAGCACCUGUCUAGAGUUGUUAUGAGGAUUACAUGAACAGUACCUGCUACAUAGGAAGUGCUAUCCAGGUAUUUGUUGUAAUUAUUUCUUACUUUCCUUACCUCCCUGGAAUUAGCCUGUUCUGCUGAUUUAUUCAUUUCCACAGCGAUUCUUUGAUAAAUUCAUGUGUUUAAUUUUUUUCUGGCCCCAGCUGUUGGAUACAGUCAGGAAGUAGGCAAGAAAUGCCAGCUCCGGAAGCAGAGGGAGAAUAAGAUAGUUAUUCUCUAGUGCCACCCAGGAAUAUGCCACUGAAGUGUUAAUGACAGACUCUUCCCUCUACAGGAGAGUUGUGCUAAACUUUGACGUUUUGUGGUCUUCUGGGGAUUCUGGAAGUAAGGGACCUGCGGUGACUUAACAACAACUGCUGUAUGACAGGAUCAGGAUAAGUGCCUGACCUCGGAAAAUUUAUUUGCUUCUCAGUUUUUAUAUAUAUGCGAGGAGGACUUUAACGUCUGCCCUGUAGGAUUAAAUGAGAUAAAAAGCAUAAAAUGCCUUCUUGGGAGUAAGCAAUCCUUUCUUCACAUGGUCCAUUCUGGUCAACUCACAAAUCCCUGAGAGGGAAGCCUCCAGGAUCCUAGAGUAGAUGACCAGAUGCCCAGGCGCGGGAUCUGCGGAAGUCAAAGUCAAGCUUUCUAGGCCGACAGCUGUCCUCAGUCGCUUGGUCAGAUAGUCUAAUCUCAGUUUUUCAGGUGAGUUCCCUCUUGACUUUCUUCUAGAGUUUUGCGUGUGCCCUGGGGUGGACACCCUCGGAGGAUGGGAGAAACUAUGUACUGCGCCAGGUCGCCUCAGGCCUGCCUUUUCCCUCCAUCCUUCCCCACCCCUCCCCUCUUCCACCCACUUUCUCACACUCCUCCUCUUUUCUCUUUCCUCCCUUUUCCUCCCUCUUCAUCAUCCUCCCUCUUAUUUUUCUUUCCCUUCACUACCCCAUCUCCUGCCUGGCCCUUCUGCACUGGCAGAGUAGACCCUCAGAAACCCUGGGAGGGAGGAUGGCUGGGACAGGCUGAUGUCUUGAGUCCUGUCCUUGGCUGUCUCUGAGGCUCUUAAGACUCCUAAUUACAGGAGUGACUCCGACUUGCUUUUCUGACAGCUAAAUUUCUGAGAGUGGGGUGCAGGAAUGGAGACCUUAUUUUCUCUUGGUCCUGGAUCCUCAGUUCUGCUUUGUGUUGGUUUUCGUUGUUGCUAUUGUUGUUUGUUCAUUUUGUAGAAUAUCAUUCAAUUGGGAUUUAACUGUUUUUGUCAUUAUUAUACUGAGGUUAUAUGUUCUGGGGAGGAAGACCACAGAGGUGAAGUGCCAUUCUCAUUAUAUCAAGGGUGCACACUGUUAACUUAUAACUGUCAAGACAUAAAACAAUUUAUAAGGUGGAAAAAGGCAGAGAGGGGUAAUUAGUGUAAUUUGAGUUGGGAGCAAAAAUUUUAUCAAGUUUAGACACAAAACUGGGUUUGUUCCCAAGAAAGUAGCAGCCAUCCCUUUUCUUAGGAGAGGUGAGGGGUUUAUUCUGUCACAGUUCCAGCAGAGACAAAGGAUCCUUGUUGCUGAGAUACUGUUUAUCAUAGCAACAACAGCUGCAGAAAUAGUCCUGGCAUAGCAAUGAACAGAGCUUUUUUGGUCCCUGUCUCUCUCUUCCAUCUCAAAUAGUAUGGACUUCUGUGGGCAGUAAAACAUACCUGUUAAUGGUGUUAUUGUCAUUUUUCCAAACUUCUUAUCAGUUGAAUUUGUUUCUGUUGCCAUUUCUAUUCCCAUACUCCUUCAUCUGCUCUAUCUGCAAAUCUCUUGCGUUUCUG
rnacentral:lncRNA from 1 species